UGACCUCGGAUCAGGUAGGAAUACCCGCUGAACUUAAGCAUAUCAAUAAAAAGGAAGA
rnacentral:rRNA from 1 species